GACGAACGCUGGCGGCGUGCUUAACACAUGCAAGUCGAACGGAAAGGCCCCUUCGGGGGUACUCGAGUGGCGAACAGGUGAGUAACACGUGAGUAACCUGCCCUUGACUUCGGGAUAACUUCAGGAAACUGGGGCUAAUACCGGAUAGGAAUCCUUGCUGCAUGGUGGGGGUUGGAAAGCUUCGGCGGUUUUGGAUGGACUCGCGGCUUAUCAGCUUGUUGGUGGGGUAGUGGCUUACCAAGGCUUUGACGGGUAGCCGGCCUGAGAGGGCGACCGGCCACAUUGGGACUGAGAUACGGCCCAGACUCCUACGGGAGGCAGCAGAGGGGAAUAUUGCACAAUGGGCGGAAGCCUGAUGCAGCAACGCCGCGUGCGGGAUGACGGCCUUCGGGUUGUAAACCGCUUUCAGCAGGGGCGAAGCUUGUGGUGACGGUACCUGCAGAAGAAGCACCGGCUAACUACGUG
rnacentral:rRNA from 1 species